UACAGAGGCCCCAAGCGUUGUUCGGAUUUACUGGGCGUAAAGGGUGUGUAGGGGGUCGUGUAAGUUUGACGUGAAAUCCCGUUGCUCAACAACGGAACUGCGUCGAAUACUGCUCGGCUGGAGGUUCGGAGAUGAGGGCGGAAUUCUCGGUGUAGCGGUGAAAUGCGUAGAUAUCGAGAGGAACGCCGAUGGCGAAAGCAGCCCUCAAGACGAAAUCUGACCCUGUAACACGAAGGCCAGGGGAGCAAACGGG
rnacentral:rRNA from 1 species